UACGUAGGGGGCAAGCGUUGUCCGGAAUCAUUGGGCGUAAAGCGCGUGUAGGCGGCCCGAUAAGUCCGCUGUAAAAGUCCAGGGCUCAACCCUGGAAAGCCGGUGGAUACUGUCGGGCUCGAGUCCGGAAGAGGCGAGUGGAAUUCCUGGUGUAGCGGUGAAAUGCGCAGAUAUCAGGAAGAACACCCGUGGCGAAGGCGGCUCUCUGGGACGGUACUGACGCUGAGACGCGAAAGCGUGGGGAGCAAACAGG
rnacentral:rRNA from 1 species